rnacentral:lncRNA from 1 species
CAAGGAAUAAGGUAGCUCCAUCAACGUCCAAGUACACAAGUGCGUUCUAAAAUGUAAAUGUAUACAGCAGCAACACGAAAUCAACAUCUAGAAUCUGUCAUAAAAAAACAUCUCAAAUUUAAAAAAGAGGGAGAAAUUCAAGCAUUGGAGUGGCAGCAUAAAUUGAAAGGUACAAUGCCGUUCACAAUCUUUGACAACGGAAGCCAAAGCAAACCAAUCCAUUUCCGGGUUCACCACUCCAAACUAUAUACAGACACAAUUAAGAUUCUACUGAACUGGAGACCUCACACACCAACAAUCUGCUUAAAAACCACUGAUACAUGAUGCAAGAAUUAACAACCAGGUCAUAGGCCUAAUAACAACAUCACUGACCCCGAGUCUCAACCACGACACCAAACUACGAACAAGCUGGCACUAACAUACACCCCUUAGUCCUCCUCCACUAUAGCUGCUUAGAUGGCCACAUUGGCCAGUUACCAUCACCUGCCCGCUUCGACUCCCCAGCUCGUCCGUGGUGGGUUCAUCACCGAGGAGCCUUGCUCAUCCAAGCCACCGACCACGAGGGCGUCACGGCUUAGAUCUGGUGAUGCGUUGCGGAACCUGCCAUCCUUGUCCUCCAGCAAGUUGCCCAGACCGCCCAGGUCGCCUAUCUCUGCUGCCAUCCUGGGCUCAUCCCAUGCCACCGGCUUUCUGCCCAUCUCGAUGUCGC